CCUACGGGCGGCAGCAGUGGGGAAUAUUGGUCAAUGGGCGCAAGCCUGACCCAGCAACGCCGCGUGAAGGAAGAAGGCUUUCGGGUUGUAAACUUCUUUUCUGAGGGACGAAGAAAGUGACGGUACCUCAGGAAUGAGCCACGGCUAACUACGUGCCAGCAGCCGCGGUAAUACGUAGGAGGCGAUCGUUGUCCGGAAUCACGGGGAGGAAAGGGCGCGUAGGCGGUAAUAUAAGUCAGAUGGGAAAGGUGGGGGCUCAACCCCGAGAGUGGAACUGAUACUGUAUAACUUGAGUGUGAGGGAGGGAAGCGGAAUUCCUGGUGUAGCGGUGAAAUGCAUAGAUAUUAGGAGGAACACCAGUGGCGAAGGCGGCUUUCUGGCUCAUAACUGACGCUGAGGCGCGAAAGCGUGGGGAGCAAACAGGAUUAGAUACCCCUGUAGUC
rnacentral:rRNA from 1 species